CGCCUCUUGAUCAAAAAUAAGAGGUCCAGCCUGCCCAAUGAUUAUUUUAAUGGCCGCGGUACCCUAACCGUGCAAAGGUAGCAUAAUCACUUGUCUACUAAAUAUAGACUUGUAUGAAUGGCAUCACGAGGGCCACACUGUCUCCCCAUUUUAAUCAGUAAAACUGAUCUCCCCGUGAAGAAGCGGGGAUUUACCUAUAAGACGAGAAGACCCCAUGGAGCUUCAAACUAACAGUCAACUGCCAAACCACACACCAUAAAACACCGCAACAAUGACUCAAAGUUUUAGGUUGGGGCGACCACGGAGUAUAACAAAACCUCCAUGAUGAACGAACAUAAAUUCUUACCCAAGAACCACACCACAAAGGACCAUCAAUAUGACACCCAUUGACCCAAAUAUUUGAUCAACGAACUUAGUUACCCUGGGGAUAACAGCGCAAUCCAUUUCUAGAGCCCAUAUCGACAAAUGGGUUUACGACCUCGAUGUUGGAUCAGGGUACCCAAGUGGUGCAACCGCUACUAAAGGUUCGUUUGKUCAACGAUUAAAACCCU
rnacentral:rRNA from 1 species